rnacentral:rRNA from 1 species
CGAGGAAAAGAAACUAACAAGGAUUCCCCUAGUAACGGCGAGUGAAGCGGGAAGAGCUCAAGCUUAAAAUCUCCGUGCAAGUUUUGCGCGGCGAAUUGUAGUCUAUAGAGGCGUGGUCAGCGUGGGCGCUUGGGGCAAGUUCCUUGGAAGAGGACAGCAUGGAGGGUGAUACUCCCGUUCAUCCCUGAGUGGCUCGUGCGUACGACCCGUGUUCUUUGAGUCGCGUUGUUUGGGAAUGCAGCGCAAAGUAGGUGGUAAAUUCCAUCUAAAGCUAAAUAUUGGUGCGAGACCGAUAGCGAACAAGUACCGUGAGGGAAAGAUGAAAAGAACUUUGAAAAGAGAGUUAAAGAGUACCUGAAACUGCUGAAAGGGAACCGAAUCGUUUCCAGUGUCUAUAAUCCGUGGCAUAUUUCAUUGGCGAGUGUGCGCGUGCGUGUGCUGUGGCAGUGGCUUUUUUGGCUGCGCUCGGUGUGUGUGCUGUGUGUGCUUGCUGGUGCCCUGUGCUGCGGUGGGACGUCAAGGUCAGUUCGUAUGCUGCGGGAAAUGGCUGCCGAGGAGGUAGGGCUUACGCUCCGCGUUUGUCUGUUAUAUCUUGGUGGACGAGUCGUCGCGGUUGGGACUGAGGUGCCUACAACGUGCUUUUGAGUGGGUUUGUGUCUCCGUGUGCGCCGUGUGCGGAUAGCUUGCUAUGCGUGUGUGGUUGUGUGUGGAUUGAUGCGGGCUUUAACUUGUCGCCGUUCGGGACGUUGACGAAAUGGAGCGAUCCGACC